rnacentral:misc_RNA from 1 species
GCAUGCUUCCUAAAUGAAAAUUAUUUCAUUUAGUGCCUAUUUUCAUUCCCAAUUGGUCCCAUACCAAUUGGACUUGUAAAAUUUUAUUUUUGGUCCCUCAAAGGAAAUUUUGGUCAUGCUGCACACUCCCUCCGAAUUUGGCUUUGAUUCAAACACCUCUAACACUCUUCAUAAGCUCUCAAAUGACCAUUUCCUACUUCAAAUUAGGUCAAAUAUAUCAUUUAUCAAUUUCUCACAAUUUUGCCUCCCAAACCCUAGGUCCAAACCCUAUCUCACUAAAUUAUUGCAUUUGUUGAAUUCUAAAUGUAUAUGUGAUACUCAUCCAUUCAUUUACACUUAACAACUUCAUUGUUUGCAUCAAAACAUCCAUUUCAAACAUAACCCUAGCUGUCCAAUUUCAUACAUAGUUCCUCAACAAUUGUUUUUCUUUUCAUAUUUUCAUGAAAUUCUCAAUUUCAACCUUAAACUUACACUUAUAAACCAAUUAAAUUAAAAGAGAGAGAAUUUACCUCUUGUGAGACUUUUGAAUCUUCACUUUCUUCCCUCAAUUUCUUCACUUCCUUUCUCUCAAUCUUCCAAUUUAGAGUUAAUUAGAGAUUUUCUAUAAAGUUUGGGUAGGGUUUAUGGAGUGAAGCUAGGUUUAAAAGCUCCAAUUUGUGUGGUUAUGGUGGAUUUUGAGAUAAACCUAAGAGAGAGAGAGGGACGGCUUAUGGGUGGGAGGAAGAAGAUGAGAGUUUUGUUUUUUUUUUUCUUAUGUUAUUUGUCUUAAGUAAUAGAUUUUUAGCUUAGUCAAUUUUAGUGGGAAAAUUAAAUUCAAUUAUGACAUCAUAAUUGAAGUCAUCCAUGAUGUAAUACAUUUUUCUUUUCUUUUCUUUUCUUU